GUCCUUUAGAUUAUAAUUUAAGGUUUAACCUGCCCUAUGAUUAUUUAAAUGGCCGCGGUAUUUUGACCGUGCAAAGGUAGCAUAAUAAUUAGUUUUUUAAUUGAAAGCUGGAAUGAAUGGUUGAAUGAGAAAAUAACUGUCUCUUUUUAAUUUUAUUGAAUUUUAUUUUUAAGUAAGAAAGCUUAAAUUUAUUUAAAAGACGAGAAGACCCUAUAGAGUUUUAUAUUUUAUAAUGUUUUUGUUGUUAAGGAAUUAAAUUAUGGAAUUUUAUAAAUUAUUUGGUUGGGGUGAUUAAAAAAUUGAUUGAACUUUUUUUAUAUUUAAACAUUGAUUUAUGAACAAUUGAUCCAUUAUUUAUGAUUAAAAGAAUAAAUUACCUUAGGGAUAACAGCGUAAUCUUUUUGGAGAGUUCAAAUUGAAUAAAAGGUUUGCGACCUCGAUGUUGGAUUAAAAUUAAAUUUUGGUGUAGAAGCUAAAAGGUUAGGUCUGUUCGACCUUUAAAAUUU
rnacentral:rRNA from 1 species